rnacentral:rRNA from 1 species
CUCUAGCAUUUCCAGUAUUAGAGGCACUGCCUGCCCAGUGACAUCAGUUAAACGGCCGCGGUAUCCUGACCGUGCAAAGGUAGCAUAAUCAUUUGUUCCUUAAAUAGGGACUUGUAUGAAUGGCCACACGAGGGCUUUACUGUCUCUUACUUCCAAUCCGUGAMAUKGACCUYCCCGUGAAGAGGCGGGAAUAUGACAAUAAGACGAGAAGACCCUAUGGAGCUUUAAUUAACCGACCCAAAGAGAUCUUGAUAAUCAACCGACAGGGAUAACAUACCUCUACCAUGGGCCGACAAUUUAGGUUGGGGUGACCUCGGAGAAUAAAACAACCUCCGAGUGAUUUAAAUCUAGACUAACUAGUCGAAAGUACUACAUCACUUAUUGAUCCAAAAACUUGAUCAACGGAACAAGUU